rnacentral:lncRNA from 1 species
UGCUCAAAUAAUUGACAAGUAACUUGUGCUUCAGAUGAAGUGAAAUAGGAGAUAUCUUUGGAGGCAGGAUGUGUCUUAUGGCAUCUUUUCAUCAAGUCUACAAACAGAAGAUUCCAAAUACUGAAUAUAAGAAUCAUGAGUUUGGAAGCUCCAUGACACUGAGUACAGAAAGAAUGGUGUUUCAACUGGGAAAAUGGGAUGGCCUUCAAUA